rnacentral:rRNA from 1 species
AGGACGAACGCUGGCGGCGUGCUUAACACAUGCAAGUCGAACGAUGAAACUCUUCGGAGUGGAUUAGUGGCGACCGGGUGAGUAACACGUGACUAACCUACCUUCAAGUGGGGGAUAACCUCGGGAAACCGGGGCUAAUACCGCAUAACAUCUUUGGAGUGGAAAUUCUGGAGAUCAAAGGAGCAAUUCGCUGGAAGAGGGGGUCGCGGCUGAUUAGCUAGUUGGCGGGUAAUGGCCCACCAAGGCUUUGAUCGGUA